AUGAUGGUGGAUACACUUCAUGUUAUAUUUUAUUUUCUUCUUCUCCUUGGGAGUUUCGGAUUUCUAUGCGUGUUGUCCCACGAUUUUUCUGUUGUGAUAUGUCAUCUUGACUUGUGCGUGUUGAUGUUAAUCUUGCGAAUUCCGUUGAUACUGAAAUUGUGUGUUGUUGCGUUGAUGAAGGUUUUUGCAGAGAAAGGUGUAAACAGUUUACAAGUAUGA